rnacentral:rRNA from 1 species
AUUGAACGCUGGCGGCAUGCCUUACACAUGCAAGUCGAACGGUAACAGGUCUUCGGAUGCUGACGAGUGGCGAACGGGUGAGUAUACAUCGGAACGUGCCUAGUAGUGGGGGAUAACUACUCGAAAGAGUGGCUAAUACCGCAUGAGAUCUACGGAUGAAAGCAGGGGAUCGCAAGACCUUGUGCUACUAGAGCGGCCGAUGGCAGAUUAGGUAGUUGGUGGGAUAAAAGCUUACCAAGCCGACGAUCUGUAGCUGGUCUGAGAGGACGAUCAGCGACACUGAGACUGAGCCACGGCCCAGACUCCAACGGGAGGCAGCAGUGGGGAAUUUUGGACAAUGGGCGCAAGCCUGAUCCAGCAAGGCCGCGUGCAGGAUGAAGGCCUUCGGGUUGUAAACUGCUUUUGUACGGAGCGAAAAGCCCUGGGUUAAUACCCUGGGGUCAUGACGGUACCGUAAGAAUAAGCACCGGCUAACUACGUGCCAGCCGCCGCCGUAA